ACCUAAUGGGGGUCGCCCGGGAGUCGGAAGGGGGAGGGGAAAGGGAGGAGGUAGCCAAGGAAUUGUUUUUUUCUCUCGCACCGCCCUUGCCAGCUCGACCAAUAGCGAUAAGGCAUUUCCCCAAGAGCCUCGCCCAGCUCCCGCGAUUCAGCCAAUGAGCGGCGGAAGCGGCUCCGAGGGGGCGGGCCCGGGAGGCAGUGCGUGUCUUGUGAGAGCUCUUGAACCAAGUCAGAGAUAGAGUCGGCUGGGCGGCUGAGAACGGCGGUUGCCGCCGGUGACUCAGGGAGGCGGGAGGCGGGGGAGGAGCCCUUCCUGCCGGCGUGGAAACCAUGGUGCUCACGCUCGGAGAAAGUUGGCCGGUAUUGGUGGGGAAGCGAUUCCUCAGUCUGUCCGCGGCCGACGGCGGCGACGACAGCUGGGACGUGGAGCGCGUCGCCGAGUGGCCCUGGCUGUCCGGGACCAUUCGCGCCGUCUCGCACACCGACGUGACGAAGAAGGACCUGAAGGUGUGUGUGGAGUUUGAUGGGGAAUCUUGGAGGAAGAGAAGAUGGAUGGAAGUCUACAGCCUUCAGAGGAGAGCAUUUUUAGUAGAGCAUCAUUUGGUCUUGGCUGAACGAAAGUCACCUGAAAUUUCUGAACGAAUUACUCAGUGGCCUGCAAUAAUGUACAAAUCUCUAUUGGACAAAGCUGGUUUGGGAUCUAUAACUUCUGUUCGCUUCCUAGGAGAUCAACAAAGCGUAUUUCUUUCCAAAGAGGUUUUGAAGCCUAUACAGGACGUAAACAAUCUUCGGCUUUCCCUUACUGAUAAUCAGAAGGUCAGUAAGGAAUUUCAAGCCUUGAUUGUGAAACAUUUAGAUGAAAGCCAUCUUUUACAAGGUGACAAAAACUUAGUUGGUUCAGAAGUAAAAAUUUAUAGCUUGGACCCAUCUACUCAGUGGUUUUCAGCAACUGUUGUAAAUGGAAACCCAACAUCAAAAACUCUUCAAGUCAACUGUGAGGAGAUCCCAGCACUGAAAAUUGUUGAUCCGUCACUGAUUCAUGUUGAAGUUGUACAUGAAAACUUUGUGACAUGUGGUAAUUCUACCAGAAUGGGAGGUGUAAAACGGAAGUCUUCUGAGAACAAUGGAAGCUUCGUUUCCAAACAAGCAAAGUCUUCCUCUGAGGCCUCUCCCAGUGUGUGUCCUGUACAGUCUGUUCCCACAGCAGUGUUUAAGGAGAUCCUGCUCGGCUGUACUGCAGCAACUCCACCUAGUAAGGACCCAAGACAGCAGAAUACUCCCCAAGCUGCCAAUUCUCCACCUAACCUUGGAGCAAAAAUUCCUCAAGGCUGCCAUAAGCAGAGUUUACCAGAAGAACUUUCUUCCUGUCUAAACACAAAGCCUGAAAUACUGAGAAUAAAACCAGAUGUCUGCAAAGCAGGGUUGCUCUCUUCAAAGUCUUCUCAGGUUGGAACUGGAGACUUGAAAAUUCUGAGUGAACCCAAAAGCGGUUGUACCCAGCCUAAGACAAACAGUGAUCAGGAAAACAGAUCGGAAUCUAUUCCACAGCCAUUGACUGGCCUUGCUAAGGAGAGCUUAUGUACAAAGACUUCUAAGGCAGAAUUGGAGAUUGCCAGUACUCCUGAACUGCAAAAGCACCUAGAACAUGCACCUUCCACAUCCGAUGUUCUUCCCAAUAAGCCAGAAGCGACAGCAGCUGUUAAUAGUGCUAGCCCUCGUGGCUGUCCAGAAAACAAGGUAGAAUCUUCAACUUUAGGUUGCCGGCCACAGAAUUUAAAGGAAACUUCAGUGAAAGUAGACAAUGAAAGCUGUUGUACAAGAAGCAACAAUAAAAUCCAGAAUGUCCCAGCCCGGAAGUCGGUUUUAACAGACCCAGCAAAACUCAAGAAGCUGCAGCAGAGUGGUGAGGCCUUUGUGCAGGACGAUUCCUGUGUGAACAUCGUCGCACAGCUGCCCAAGUGCCGGGAGUGUCGCUUGGAUAGUCUGCGCAAGGACAAGGAGCCGCAGAAGGACUCGCCAGUGUUUUGUCGCUUCUUCCACUUCAGAAGGUUACAAUUCAAUAAACAUGGUGUGUUGCGGGUAGAAGGCUUCUUAACACCAAACAAGUACGACAGUGAAGCAAUUGGCUUGUGGCUGCCUUUGACCAAAAAUGUUGUGGGGACUGAUUUGGACACGGCAAAGUAUAUCUUGGCCAACAUUGGAGACCACUUCUGUCAAAUGGUGAUUUCUGAAAAGGAAGCUAUGUCAACUAUUGAGCCACACAGACAGGUUGCUUGGAAGCGAGCUGUCAAAGGUGUUCGAGAAAUGUGUGACGUGUGUGACACCACCAUCUUCAACCUGCACUGGGUGUGCCCUCGGUGUGGGUUUGGGGUGUGUGUGGAUUGCUACCGCAUGAAGAAGAAGAAUUGCCAGCAGGGGGCCACCUACAAGACUUUCUCGUGGCUGAGAUGUGUGAAGAGUCAGAUACAUGAGCCGGAGAACCUAAUGCCUACUCAGAUCAUUCCUGGCAAAGCCCUCUAUGAUGUUGGAGACAUUGUUCAUUCAGUAAGAGUAAAAUGGGGAAUAAAGGCAAAUUGUCCGUGUUCAAACAGGCAGUUCAAACUCUUUUCAAAGCCACCCUCAAAGGAAGACCUGAAACAGACCUCCUUAGCGGGGGAAAGACCGACACUCAGUGCCGUACUCCAGCAAAGUCCCUCAGCUUUGGAGCCAGCGACGGUGGGAGGGGAAGCAGCCUCUAAGCCAGCUGCCAGCGCGAAGCCUCCCUGUCCAGCCAGCCCGUCGCCUUUGAAUUGGCUGGCCGACCUGACGAGUGGGAAUGUCAACAAGGAAAACAAGGAGAAACAGCCAGUGAUGCCAACUUUAAAGAAUGAAGUCAGAUGCCUUCCCCCCCUUCCCCCUCUUAACAAAUCCAGCACAGUGCUCCAUACCUUCAACAGCACAAUUCUGACACCUGUGAGCAACAAUUCUGGUUUCCUCCGAACCCUCUUGAAUUCUUCUACGGGAAAGACAGAAAAUGGACUCAAGAAUACACCAAAAAUCCUUGAUGACAUCUUUGCCUCUUUGGUGCAAAAUAAGACGUCCUCUGAUUUAUCUAAGAGGCCUCAAGGACUGACCAUCAAGCCCAGCAUUCUGGGCUUUGACACUCCUCACUACUGGCUGUGUGAUAAUCGCUUGUUGUGCUUGCAAGAUCCCAACAACAAGAGCAACUGGAACGUGUUCAGGGAGUGCUGGAAACAAGGGCAGCCAGUGAUGGUGUCAGGAGUGCACCACAGAUUGAACACUGAACUUUGGAAACCCGAGUCCUUCAGGAAAGAGUUUGGUGAGCAGGAGGUUGACCUGGUUAAUUGUCGGACCAAUGAAAUCAUCACAGGAGCCACUGUCGGAGACUUUUGGGAUGGAUUUGAAGAUGUCCCAAAUCGUCUAAAAAAUGACAAAGAACCAAUGGUGUUGAAACUUAAGGACUGGCCACCAGGAGAGGAUUUUAGAGAUAUGAUGCCUUCCAGAUUUGAUGACUUGAUGGCCAACAUCCCACUGCCUGAGUACACAAGGCGAGAUGGCAAAUUGAACUUGGCCUCUAAACUGCCAAACUACUUUGUUCGGCCAGAUCUCGGUCCCAAGAUGUAUAAUGCUUAUGGAUUAAUCACUCCAGAAGAUCGGAAGUAUGGGACCACAAAUCUUCACUUAGACGUAUCUGACGCAGCUAACGUCAUGGUGUAUGUGGGAAUUCCCAAAGGACAGUGUGAGCAAGAGGAAGAAGUCCUUAGAACCAUCCAAGAUGGAGAUUCUGAUGAACUCACAAUAAAGCGAUUUAUUGAAGGAAAAGAGAAGCCAGGAGCCCUCUGGCAUAUAUAUGCUGCUAAAGACACGGAGAAGAUAAGAGAAUUCCUUAAAAAGGUGUCUGAAGAGCAGGGCCAAGAGAACCCGGCAGACCACGACCCUAUUCAUGACCAGAGCUGGUAUUUGGACCGGUCAUUGAGGAAGCGUCUUCAUCAAGAGUAUGGAGUUCAAGGUUGGGCUAUUGUACAGUUUCUUGGGGAUGUGGUGUUUAUCCCGGCAGGCGCUCCACAUCAGGUUCAUAAUUUAUACAGCUGUAUCAAAGUGGCUGAAGACUUUGUGUCUCCAGAGCAUGUAAAACACUGCUUCUGGCUUACUCAGGAAUUCCGUUACCUGUCACAGACUCAUACCAACCAUGAGGAUAAAUUGCAGGUGAAGAAUGUUAUCUACCAUGCAGUGAAAGAUGCAGUUGCUAUGCUGAAAGCCAGUGAAUCUAGUUUCAGCAAACCUUAAUCCCUGCACAUUGGAAGUGAAUUGUUGGCAGCUGUUCAAACUCUUCAGGCAGGAUUCCUGUGGACUUUGAGAUUUCAUGUUACCUCAUCUUCUUUUUUAAAAUAUACCCAACUUGUGAGGCAUGUUAAAUGUUAUCCCACUGCCUUCUGACCUCCAUGGUUUGUGAUCAGAAAGUAUGUGUUAAUCUUACUGAGGAUCCAUUUUAGAUGGUGAGUCAUUUCUCUUUGUUGCUUUAAAGAUUAUCUUGGUCCUCUACUUCCAGUGAUUUGAUAUCAGCUGUCUUAAUGUGAAUGUUUCAGUUCAUCUUAUCAGAGACUUGAGCUUGUUCAGUGAACUUUCUCAGAUUUGGGAGGUUUUAGGUCAUUUUUUAAAUACUGUUUUUGACCUUUGCCAAGAUGCAUGUAAUAGUGAGCUUGAUGAUUUUCCCCAAAUUUCUUAAGCUGUGUUUGAGUUUUCUCAUUCUUUUAGUUCUAUUUUCAAGUUUUCUGAUCUUUCUUCCACCUCUUCAGAUCUUCUGUUUAGCACCUUAAUAUGUUGUUCAUUAUAACUACUGUACAUUUCAACUCUAAAAUCUCCAUGGGGCACCAUGUUAUAAUUUGCCUCUUUGUUUUCUCAUUUUGUUCAUAGUUGUCCUCAUUUCUUUUAGUUCAUUGUCCAUGAUUUUCUUUUAAUCUUCCCAUCUUUAAAGCAAUUAUUUAUACUCUUUCACUUCAGGUAGGUUUACUUCCUUUUUUAAUGGGUUUCCAGUGUUUUCAAGCAAUGCCUGCUGUUUUUCUGCCAAGUGGGUUCUGAGUUAGGCAAACAAAGAGGUUUUAGUUCCUCUUGUGUUAGUUCUCCAAACAGGUUAAGGCAGGCUGUGUUUUCUUGGGAGUCCGAGACCAUGGUCCGGCACUGAGAAUGUGGGUGGCUGUUGGCUACCAAGCUGGGGAGGAGGUGGGGGAAGGGCAAAUGAAACUUCUUCUACCAUUUUAAAGUUUCCUUUUUAAUUCAACAUUUGCUUGGUUGCUAUAAACUUUUGUUUUCUGGAGUUCUGACAAACUGGAUUCUAACAUUCUGUGGUUGUCUUUUCCAGGUUUCUCUGGAGGGAUGGGUGUUUGGACUGUGCUUCACCAUUUUGCUGAAGUCAUUCUAUAAACAUAUUUUUGAGUUAUAAUUAUGUGAAGAGAACUUUCUUACCUUAAAAGAAAAGUUACUUCUCUACUAUGGCAUUUCUAAACCUGGGUUAGUGACUGAAGGGUAUUAAGUUUGCUAUCCCAAAAGAUUACCUUGAUCAAGUAAUUUGAAGAUAGCGUAUGAGAGACUGGAGCGCUGUAAGGAAACCUGUUUUAUGUUAUUUUACUCAAGCAUUUUCCAAGCGUAUCUCACUGUUAGGUCCCUUCUAACUGGCGAUACAGAUUGGCAUUUAAAGAGCAUUUGUCACUAGGUUAAAAUGAGAAAAAAUGGUCUAAGUUCUUCAAAGCGUGAACAUUACUAUUUUUCACGGUUGUCAGGACCAUAGUUUUGAGGCACAGAGUGGAUGUGACUGGUACUAUCUGAGAAUCACUGUGAGUCCCCUUCUCUUCAGAAAUUCCAAGGUAAACAUCUAGAAAUAAUACAAGGGUGGCAAAGGCCAUGUGAGCUGUACAGCGGGCUGGUAAGUGCUCAGCAAGGCAUCUUUGCUCCAAGACAGGUGAACAGUGGGGCGGAGGCAGGUCCUGUAAUGCCUGCUGGCAGGAAAGUGCUUUUGAAAAGAGUAAGCAAGUUUGGAAACAAUACAAUAAAUGGUAACGGGUGCUUAGUGGAUGGUUUCAUAGGGGAGUGGUGGGUGGAAGCUGGUGCCGCUGCUGCCCCACCCAGUUUGAGCACUUAAGAACAGAGGAAAACGUCUGUUGCAGGUCUGCACAUCAGUUUUUGCCUUCCGAAUUGUAGCCCUUCUAGGGCUAAAAUAGAAUCUGACACACUUUGUCUCCAUAUAACCAACAAGCAUAUGAAGGGAUAAAAAGAAUACAUCACAUAAAUAACAAGCCAGUUUUACUCUUUAGUCUGAAAGAAGGAAUGGGGGAAAAAAGGACCUGUUCAGAAACUAAAACAAAGCAACUCUUAUGUUUAAAUCGCUUUAUUUGAAUGAUUAGAGAGUCUGUUGUUACUAAUCUGGCUGGCCAACCACCCACAUGGAUAAAGUUUUGACUAGUCAAAUAAAUAAAAAAUGCUGAAGGCUUA